rnacentral:rRNA from 1 species
UACGAAGGGGGCGAGCGUUGUUCGGAUUUACUGGGCGUAAAGGGCGCGCAGGCGGCUAUCCAAGUCAGGCGUGAAAGCCCCGGGCUUAACCUGGGAGGUGCGUCUGGGACUGGGUGGCUUGAGGUUGGGAGAGGGAUGCGGAAUUCCAGGUGUAGCGGUGAAAUGCGUAGAUAUCCGGAGGAACACCGGUGGCGAAGGCGGCAUCCUGGACCAAUUCUGACGCUGAGGAGCGAAAGCCAGGGGAGCAAACGGG